GCGGGUAUCGUAUAAAGGCUAUUAUGCCUGCCUUCCAAGCAGGCGAUGCGAGUUCGAUUCUCGCUACCCGCU
rnacentral:tRNA from 1 species